AUUGAACGCUGGCGGCAGGCCUAACACAUGCAAGUCGAACGGCAGCACAGAAGAGCUUGCUCUUUGGGUGGCGAGUGGCGGACGGGUGAGUAAUGUCUGGGAAACUGCCCGAUGGAGGGGGAUAACUACUGGAAACGGUAGCUAAUACCGCAUAACGUCGCAAGACCAAAGUGGGGGACCUUCGGGCCUCACACCAUCGGAUGUGCCCAGAUGGGAUUAGCUAGUAGGUGGGGUAAUGGCUCACCUAGGCGACGAUCCCUAGCUGGUCUGAGGGGAGGACCAGCCACACUGGAACUGAGACACGGUACAGACUCCUACGGGAGGCAGCAGUGGGGAAUAUUGCACAAUGGGAGCAAGCCUGAUGCAGCCAUGCCGCGUGUAUGAAGAAGGCCUUCGGGUUGUAAAGUACUUUCAGCGGGGAGGAAGGCGGUGAGGUUAAUAACCUUGCCGAUUGACGUUACCCGCAGAAGAAGCACCGGCUAACUCCGUGCCAGCAGCCGCGGUAC
rnacentral:rRNA from 1 species